rnacentral:lncRNA from 1 species
UUCGAUAUUGUCUCUAAGGAUGUGGGUGUUCCUGUUGUAGCAUUUUCUCUCAGGGACAGCAGCAAAUAUACGGUAUUUGAAGUAUCUGAGCAUCUCAGAAGAUUUGGAUGGAUCGUCCCUGCAUACACAAUGCCACCGGAUGCUGAACACAUUGCUGUGCUGCGGGUUGUCAUUAGAGAGGAUUUCAGCCACAGCCUAGCUGAGAGACUUGUUUCUGACAUUGAGAAAAUUCUGUCAGAGUUGGACACACAGCCUCCUCGUUUGCCCACCAAAGCUGUCCGUGUCACUGCUGAGGAAGUGCGUGAUGACAAGGGUGAUGGGCUUCAUCAUUUUCACAUGGAUACUGUAGAGACUCAGAAAGACAUUAUCAAACAUUGGAGGAAAAUCGCAGGGAAGAAGACCAGCGGAGUCUGCUAGGUCUG